UGGCGGACGGGUGAGUAACGCGUGGGUAACCUGCCUCACACAGGGGGAUAACAGUUGGAAACGGCUGCUAAUACCGCAUAAGCGCACAGUACCGCAUGGUACAGUGUGAAAAACUCCGGUGGUAUGAGAUGGACCCGCGUCUGAUUAGGUAGUUGGUGGGGUAACGGCCUACCAAGCCGACGAUCAGUAGCCGACCUGAGAGGGUGACCGGCCACAUUGGGACUGAGACACGGCCCAAACUCCUACGGGAGGCAGCAUG
rnacentral:rRNA from 1 species